rnacentral:rRNA from 1 species
GACGAACGCUGGCGGCGUGCUUAACACAUGCAAGUCGAACGGAAAGGCCCUGCUUUUGUGGGGUGCUCGAGGGGCGAACGGGUGAGUAACACGUGAGUAACCUGCCCUUGACUUUGGGAUAACUUCAGGAAACUGGGGCUAAUACCGGAUAGGAGCUCCUGCUGCAUGGUGGGGGUUGGAAAGUUUCGGCGGUUGGGGAUGGACUCGCGGCUUAUCAGCUUGUUGGUGGGGUAGUGGCUUACCAAGGCUUGGACGGGUAGCCGGCCUGAGAGGGUGACCGGCCACAUUGGGACUGAGAUACGGCCCAGACUCCUACGGGAGGCAGCGGUGGAGAAUAUUGCACAAUGGGCGGAAGCCUGAUGCAGCAACGCCGCGUGCGGGAUGACGGCCUUCGGGUUGUGAACCGCUUUCGCCUGUGACGAAGCGUGAGUGACGGUAACGGGUAAAGAAGCACCGGCUAACUACGUG